rnacentral:lncRNA from 1 species
UCAUCUUCUAUCUAAUCUUCUCCAAGACAUAACUAUUCAUUGGAUCCAUGAUUCCUAAAUCCCAAUCGACACUCCAAUCCAUUAAAAAGGUCAAAUUCCAAUACCCAAAUCGUUGCUUGUUCAAAGUUCUGAAUUCUUUUUCUUAGCUUCUUUUGAGUUAUGGGUUAUGCUCAGCUAAUUAAUCCUCAUCAAUGUGGUGGUUUUUAUGAUAAACUAAUUAAUUUUCCCACGUCAAUGCUUUUUCUGAUUUUUUUCCCUUUUUCUUCAUACUUUGAAAUUUCAAAAGAUGACCUCCAUUGGGAGAAAAACUAGUGGAUUGAGAGAAGAAUCCUUGAUAAAUUUUUUUUUCAUGUUUUUGGUGUCAAUUUUAAUAGCGAGGUGUUGAUGAACAAUAACAACAACGGUUGUGAUGAAUAAUAAUAGUGGCGGUGGUCAUUGACGUUGGUUUGAUAGCGGUGCAGAGGCGGAAGCAAGAAGGAGGAGACCGAUGGUGGUUUGUGGAAAUAGUAAGGAGAGAGCAGGAAGAGUGGUUCGAUUAUAAGUGGUUCUAAGUUUCAUGAAAUGAGUGUGAUUUUAUGUGUGGUGUCGAUGUGGGAUGCCUACGGAUUGGUCUUGCGAUAAUUUGGAUGAAAAUUGCUAAUAUAUAUGGAAAGAAAAUAAAAAUUAUUUAUGCGAUAAAUUUUUAAAUCAUGAUACCGAAAUGUGAUUGCAGAAAGAAGGAGAAAAGAUUAAAAAAAAAUGAUAGCGCUGUGUGGUACUCCUACACUUUCUUUUACAACGGAAAAUCUGCUAGUUUCAUUGAACCCAUCAGUGGCAAUGCCAAACCCUGGAAUGGAAACAAAACAUUUACAUCCCUUGGGGGAGCCAUAAUUAAGGUACUCAAUCCAGUUUGGAGGGAGGGUACCCAUCGCCAACAUAGUACUCCUACACGUGCUAAUUAAAUAUUGCGCAUGUCUUAU